rnacentral:misc_RNA from 1 species
GAUUAAGAACGUAGUGAAAUGCGAUAAGUAAUGUGAAUUGCAGAAUUCAGUGAAUCAUCGAAUCUUUGAACGCACAUUGCGCCCGCCAGUAUUCUGGCGGGCAUGCCUGUUCGAGCGUCAUUACAACCCUCAGGCCCCCGGGCCUGGCGUUGGGGAUCGGCGGAAGCCCCCUGCGGGCACAACGCCGUCCCCCAAAUACAGUGGCGGUCCCGCCGCAGCUUCCAUUGCGUAGUAGCUAACACCUCGCAACUGGAGAGCGGCGCGGCCACGCCGUAAAACACCCAACUUCUGAAUGUUGACCUCGAAUCAGGUAGGAAUACCCGCUGAACUUAAGCAUAUCAAUAAGCGGAGGA